rnacentral:lncRNA from 1 species
CAAAUCUGCUUUCCUGAGUUUUGUUUCUAUCAACCCCUUUCUCCCGGACUGCACCUGGCUUCCUAUAUCACUUACAUCGACUCUGCUCAGCAUGCAGAUCUGUGACUCAGGGCUCAAGUUUCCGCCCUGGCCUGUCUCAGGCCUGUGUUGUGUUCUCUCUGACACUCAGAUCCUGAGAGUUGGAUACAGGGUCUUCCGUGGAGAGCUUCUCGGUGUGGAUUCUCAUCAUCAUUAGAGUUGCUGAGGGCAUAUGUUUUGGACUUUUCUUGCCUGAUUUGUGAGAUUCUGCUGACAUCCAGGAAAGUGCUGCAAAAAAAACCUGUUGCUCAUAUCCAAGCUUAUGUGUUUCGUGGCAGAGCCACGAGCACUGAGCUCAAGUUUCUUGACAACAAGUCUUAUUUAUGGAGAAACAAACAUAGGCGGUAUUUCGUGGGACCAUGCUGUUCUCUUUCUAACUGUGCUCAUAGUAUACUCCUGUCUACGAUGUCUUAGCCAAUGAAACCACAUCUUAAAAGGCUCAAGUCACAGGUUGAUCCCUCUAGAAAUGCUCCCCCAGUCCACAAGGUAGGUAAAUUUUCUUCCAUUAUUCUUUUACAGGAAGUGGAAUUCUAAUUUCCUAUUUGUAUAUAUAUUCAUAAUACGAUCCUACUUCUAACCCAUCCCAUUCCCCCUCUACUAGACUUUCAGGUUCCUAAGGAUAAG